rnacentral:rRNA from 1 species
CGCGUAGGCGGUAAUACAAGUCUGAGGUGGAAUUCGGGGGCUUAACUUCCGGACUGCCUUGGAAACUGUAUCACUUGAGUCGGACAGGGGAAGGCGGAAUUCCAGGUGUAGCGGUGAAAUGCGUAGAUAUCUGGAGGAAGGUCUGUGGCGAAGGCGGCCUUCUGGGUUUUGACUGACGCUGAGGCGCGAAAGCGUGGGGAGCAAACAGGAUUAGAUACCCUGGUAGUCCACGCCCUAAACUGUGGGUACUAGGUGUGGGAUCUGUAAGGGUUCCGUGCCGAAGCGAAAGCGUUAAGUACCCCGCCUGGGGAGUACGGCCGCAAGGUUGAA